rnacentral:lncRNA from 1 species
CGCAUCCAAAUUUAAAAUUUUAAAAUAAAAAAGAGCUUGAUUUAAAUAAUUGUGUGGUGUACAGGGAUGUAACCCCCCCUCUUUAUUUUAUAACAAUAUUGUUUUAAAGCUCCACAAUACCUGAUUCACAAUACCUUGUGCUUAAGGAUUAUAAGGAAGCCCAGUAAUAUGGGUAAUAUUAAAUUUUCAACAAAACGUCUCAAAUGAUUGAUUUCAGUAGCCAGUUCCAUUAUCUGUUAUAAUCUGAUUUGAAACACCAAACAUAGAAAAACAACGUAGGCAAUGACUCAUUGCAUUUUUAGUUGCUUCUCCUGUUAAAGCAGUUGUAACUAGAAAGCCUGAAGUGGUGUCAAUGGUCACAUGUAUGUAUUUUAAUUUUCCAAAAUCAGAAAUAGGAGUAACAUCCACUUGCCACAAUUGAUUAGGUAUAAGUCCUGGAGAUUAACACCAUUAUAUGGUACAGGAAGAAGUUGAGGACAUUGAAGACAAGUCUUUACAACUUGACGUGCACAUUCCCUAGAAACACCAAAUUGUUGUCUUAAGCUAUUAAUAUUUUGAUGUUGUAAAAAAUGAGAUUGUAUGGCUAAUUGUUCCUAUGUUCUGCUGUGGCAUUGCCCUCUGCACUAAGGGGUCCAGGUAAUCCAGUAUGAGCUCUUAAAUAUCCUAUAAAGCAAGCAACAGUACCUUCUCUUAAAUUAAGUUGUAUUUGCAUAAAUAAUUGCAAAAUUUGAAAAUUAGCAGUCUAAAAAAAAGGAA